ensembl:snRNA U6 U6 spliceosomal RNA
UUGCUUUAGCAGCACAUAUACUAAAACUGGAACGAUACAGAGAAGAUUAGCAUGGCCCCUGCGCAAGGCUAACAUGCACAUUCAUGAAGUGCCCCAUUUAAAA